rnacentral:rRNA from 1 species
ACUUUACAAUGCGGGCAACCGUGAUAAGGGAACCUCGAGUGCCUGUACAUGCAGGCUGUUCAGGUGUCUAAAACACACCUGAAGAAAGGGCCGGGCAAGACCGGUGCCAGCCGCCGCGGUAACACCGGCGGCUCGAGUGGUAACCGUUAUUAUUGGGUCUAAAGGGUCUGUAGCCGGCCGGAUAAGUCUCUUGAGAAAUCUGGCAGCUUAACUGUCAGGCUUUCAGGAGAUACUGUCUGGCUCGAGGCCGGGAGAGGUGAGAGGUACUUCGAGGGGGUAGGGGUGAAAUC